UACAGAGGCCCCAAGCGUUAGGCGGAAUCACUGGGCUUAAAGCGUGUGUAGGCGGACUUCUAAGUACCUUGUGAAAUCCCACGGCUUAACCGUGGAACUGCUUGGUAUACUGGUCGUCUUGAGCCACUUAGGGGUUACCGGAACAAAUGGUGGAGCGGUGAAAUGCGUAGAUAUCAUUUGGAACGCCAAUGGUGAAAACAGGUAACUGGGAGUGUGCUGACGCUGGAGAACACGGAAAGCCCAGGGGAGCAAACGGG
rnacentral:rRNA from 1 species